rnacentral:lncRNA from 12 species
AUGGAGACUGUGGUGACGCCAGGGGAAGCAGAAAGUCAGUGCCCAGGCUGGCAACUAGCUCAGACACUGAGACUCUUUCUCUGCUUCCACCUCACUGCUCUGGCCGUGGCAGAUCCAGCAGAUGGGCUCCUGGCAGGAACUGGCUCUCAGCAGGGCACAGGCUCUGCUCCUGCAGGACAGCAACCCAGCCUUCAGCUCUGCAGCCGACGGAGAAAGAAGGACUUGAGUGUAAUCGGACCGGCCCUGCAAAUCUUGGCUUUUUCUUUCUGGAGCAUCUCAGCAAACGGUCUAGUUCAAGGCAAGUCUUCUCUGCCCCCUCCUGCCCUUCACAUCAGUGACCCACCUCCUGCCCCAGCCCCCACUGCAUUCAAGGGCAGAGACAGCCAGAUGAAAACCGUGGUAAUGAACUUGCAGCAAAGCUGCCCCUGUGGUCUCAUGGGUCAGCAUGUCUCUGCCAAAAUGAAAGAAAGGACUUCCAAAGGAAUGCCUCCUUUUUUUUUUUUUUUUUUUCCCACAAAACUUGGCAAUGAAUUAAUCAUUGUUUAUCGGGGCUGUGUGAUACUAGGUCCCAGUAAUGGUGCUGAGACAUAAAUCACAGAUCUCUGGGGGUGGGGUCGAGGAGGGGGCCCAGGAUGGUUGUGAAGAGCUGUUCUUCUAGCCCAGGGAAAAAAUAUCCUUGUUUUCAAGCGGCUGGGAGUGCAUUCUGGGCUAUUUAUAAUCUGCUGCCGAGCUAAGGCGUUUCUGCAGCUGGGCCUGGGAGAUAAUUAGCACAGUUUUCUUCUUAAGCCAGGUCUGCAAAACAGAGCCUUCUCCUCUGGUAGCCCACCCCAGCCCAUCUGCACCUGGCCUCCCAAGUCCGACCUCCCUCCCUUGGUUUCAGCUUUCUAGACAGCAUUGAAAGACAGAAAGGCUGAACUGCCUCAGCUCAGAGAUGAAGGCAUGGCUUGUGACCCACUGGCAGAUGGAUUUGCCCAGAGCAGACCCGUGGAAUGUCCAGGGAACUUGGCGCAAAGGGCCUUUGAGGGCUGUGGGGAAGGGGCACAUGCCACAGGCUCUGUUUCCUUCUCUCAGAUGGAAAAACAGGGUCCCAGGGAGGGCAGAUUCCAAAAUUAUCCCUUUGUAUUUCUUGGCAGGAAGGCAAGCAUCGAGGCAAAAGUUCUGGAAUAGGGUUCCAAAAACCUGGCUGCCUCUCCCACAACUGCCUGGUGGCCUGGAGCAAACCCCUUCGUGUCUCUGGACCUGUUUCCUUAUCUAGAAAGGGCAGGGAGGGGGAGAAGCUCAGUAUUUUUCACACUUUUAAAACUCAUUAAAGCUCCUUUAUAAGAGCAAUGUUGCAUAGAAGUGGAGUAUAUAAAACAGGUACAAACAGGGUAACUGGUUGAAGUGGACUGGGGAGGGGGCUAAGACUGGAAGCCCACCCACCUGGCCUCUUUCUCAGUCUACCCUGAUGGAUGAAGGAUGUCCAGGAGCCUAGGGCUCUAAGAGAAUUUGGUCGCUGCUGGCUCAAUGGUGUCUAACAUUCUGAGCUUUGAAAUCCAUUCAUUCAUUUACCCAUUCAUCCCCCACAAAUAUUUACUGACUUGUGUCAGGCUGGACUUGGUGUUGGGGAUGAAAAGAAGAAUAAGAAAGCCAUUGUCCUUGCCUCACGGAAUUUGCAAAGUAGUUAGAUAGACAUUGAUUACAUACUAUAUUUAAUAUAUUGAUUAAAUAUAUAAAUUAUGUAAAUGUAUGAAUAAUAUAUAAUAUACAAUAUAUGUGUUUUUAUAUAUUACACAUAAUAAAUACAUUUCUAAGUGAGGUUUUACUGAAGUG